rnacentral:rRNA from 1 species
AUUGAACGCUGGCGGCAUGCUUUACACAUGCAAGUCGAACGGCAGCGCGGGCUUCGGCCUGGCGGCGAGUGGCGAACGGGUGAGUAAUGCAUCGGAACGUGCCCAGUAGUGGGGGAUAGCCCGGCGAAAGCCGGAUUAAUACCGCAUACGACCUGAUGGUGAAAGCGGGGGACCGAAAGGCCUCGCGCUAUUGGAGCGGCCGAUGUCGGAUUAGCUAGUUGGUGGGGUAAAGGCUUACCAAGGCGACGAUCCGUAGCUGAUCUGAGAGGACGACCAGCCACACUGGAACUGAGACACGGCCCAGACUCCUACGGGAGGCAGCAGUGGGGAAUUUUGGACAAUGGGGGCAACCCUGAUCCAGCCAUGCCGCGUGAGGGAAGAAGGCCUUCGGGUUGUAAAACGCUUUUGUUCGGGAAGAAAUCCUCUGGGCUAAUACCCCGGGGGGAUGACGGUACCGGAAGAAUAAGCACCGGCUAACUACGUG